AGUCACUGACAUUAGAUACCCCUGUAGUCCCAGCCGUAAACAAUGUGCGUUAGGUGUGUCGGUAACCACGCGUUACUGAUGCGCCGAAGAGAAAUCGUGAAACGCACCACCUGGAAGUACGGUCGCAAGGCUGAAACUUAAAGGAAUUGGCGGGGAGCACCACAACAGGUGGAGCCUGCGGUUUAAUUGGAUUCAACGCCGGACAUCUCACCGGAUAAGACAGCUGAAUGAUUGUCAAUCUGAAGGUUUUACAUGACUAGCUG
rnacentral:rRNA from 1 species